ensembl:lncRNA
CAGGGACUGAAAAGGAAGUAAUAUUCAUCUGUGCUUCUGGGCAUGCUCUUUGGGGCUCGGGUUUGCACUCAGCUCCAGCCUCUAAAUUUGAACAGGAGGUGAGGUGACUGUCAGAACCGAAUUUUGUGAGGCACACUCUCUGUCUCUGUCAUGCUCUCUCGCUGAACAACUAUCUCUUUAGGUUUUCCCUACAUCUUUUUUAGUUUGAUGAGAAAACUAAGAGAGGAAGGAAAAGAAAAAACAUGGGAAGGAAAACAUUGAGAAGUUUGUCUCAGAAACAGUGGAGCUGGAAGGACUAACCUCAAAAUAAAGACAAGAGUGAGCUGGUGUGAAAUUUGAGCAGGAAGGAGAAAUGAGAAACCUGUGGUCUUCUGUCUAGGAACCAGGAACAGUAUCCAUAGAAGGCCAUCAGAAGAAGAUAGACGCUUCAGAAGAAUUGGCUGAUCAUUUCUGAACUCUGCUGUUCUUGAGGCCGUCGAUUGUGGAAGACCAAGAGGGGAGUGGAGGCAGAACAUAAUGGAUCAUCAAAGCUGGGAUUAAAAUUUUUGUGGAGGAACAGCUCUGACUGCUGGAAGAUUUAAGCUUAUUAGCUUUAAAACCAGGGAUUGUCUGGCUGGAAGUCAGGCUGGGUCGAUACAGCUGGUACUGAUCCGUACCUGGUUUGUCCCAAUAAGGAAAUCGAAACACUACACUUGCAUUUUAGAUCUUAGUAAUUUAACAGAUGGUCAUAUACUGUGUAAUGUGCAAGCAGUCCAUUCAACUGAUGCAGAUAAAAGACCACAUAUUGCACUACUCAAUUGAAUAUAUUGAUAUAAUUUGUUUCACCAUUGCUUGGGGGAAGAUAUAGAAUCACAGAUACAUUUUCAAAGCAGAUUGUUUUGUAAAUGUUAGAUAGGCACUUUUUUAUAGCAAAUGGUUUUGUAAAUGUCAGAAAGGUACAUUUUAAUUUUGUUAGAUUUUGUUAGAUGGAUACAACAUCAUAGCAGGUUAUUAAUUAAAUGUUACUGUAUACAACAGUAAUGUAAUAAAUUAUUUGUUUGAGUGGUGUGGAAGAAAUUUUUCAUGAAAAAUUAAAGGAAGAUAAAUUGUGAUCAGCAUUGUAAGAGAUUAGUGACACAAUAAAAUAAUUUUUCCAUUAGUGAAGAAUAGUGGUUUAUCUCUUCUUACGGGGGAAGCCUAAUGUUUGGAGAAGACGUAUUUAAGUGGUGGUUGUCUUUAAAUGACGUGAUCAAAUCACAAAGCUCCUGUUUAGUAUACCUUAAAAUAUUCUGGUGCUCGAGACCACUAUAAACUGGAUCAUGCUUUAAUUGUUGGCGCAUAGCUUCUCAGUGCACAAGUGAUGAUCAUUGAAUCUUUUGUGAUGUUUUCUGAAAGAAUAUUCAAUCAUCAUGAAAAUGUUGCUUCUAGAAAUAUUUUCCAUGGCUGAAAUAAGAAUCAUGGAUAAUGAAAUAAAUUAAACAUAUAAUAACGUACUGUGCUUCUUUAAGAAUGUUUAAUUGUCUAGUGGUAUUGGUAUGAAUGCCAUGGAUUUAAAUUAGUUUAACACAAUCUGUUGAAUACAAUGAACUUAAUGUUGAACUUGAACUGUUCAGUCACCUCUUGUUGAUGAAGUGCACAUUCUGUCUUUAAACAGUUAUUUAGUAUACUAUGGUUUUAAUAUAAUAUUUUUAAGUUUGUUUUUAUUAGUUUUAAUUUUUCUAUGAAGGUCCAGUGCUAAGUUUUUUAGGUGGAGGAACCUCAACUAGAUCUUUAUGUUCAUACUAUAUGCCCACAGAAACAGCACGUUACUCUUUACUACAGUCUAAAUGCUGUUUAGUAUUAAAUACUAGCUUUAGGUUGCACCAUAAAUGGUGUCCUAACCCCUAUGAAAUGUGCAGAGCACAUACGGCUCUGAGCAAAAGAAUUGCACUGCAUAUAUACAGGUUACUAUUUGGCACAUAUCCUUUUUGGUCAAGUUGGCCAGGUGAUGUUAUUCAUUUGAAGCAAGGUGUGGCUUUGAUUUUAUGUAUCUGUGUCAGUGUUUUUUGUGCCUAGCUAUAAAUAACUGAUAACAGCUCUUUCCCGUUCUAGAAAUAGAGUCUCCUGAAUUAGACACAGCCUCAGUAGCUUUCAUUAAACGGGGAAAACAUGUUAAUGGUGCAUUGCCAUGGUGAUGAUUUACCGUUUUCUGAAAACCAAUAUUUUAUAAUACUGCUAUCUAUGUCAUAGCUGCAGGCAGAAACAGGAAAAUGCUGAGGUAAUAUGUUACACAUCCCCUGCCUAAGAGCUGUUUAAUAUAUUACAUAAGGUUGAAAUAAACACUUUUUAUGCAUAGCAAAUAUGGUCUGUGGAGGUAAUUAAUAUAGAUAGAUAUCCUAAAUUGUAUUUUUAUGGUAAAAUGUUUUAAUUAAUGUACUAGAGACAAGUCUGCCAACAAUGAUGGCUUCCAACAAUAAAGGCCAGCAGAGUCAAUUCCGUCUUGAAGGUGAAUUUACCAUAGCUCAACUAUUUGAUGUACUAAUGUGUAAAUACUUAACACCAAAACAUAUAUUUAUUUGAAACCAAGGUUGAUCAUGUCCAUCUGGUGUACAGUGCCUGGCUGCAAUAAUUACAAGGAAACACAGAAAAGUGCUAUUCUGUGUUUCAUUUACCCAAUGCAUCAACAUGUAACUACAACAGAUAUUGCAUUUGAAAUGUUCUUGUUAUUAUGAAUCCAUUGAUCCCACUUAUCCCAUGCCAACCAAUAAUACCAUUACCACACAUUCACCAGUAGAAUGUUUUUUGUUUUUGAAAAAAGCUAUACGCUAUAUUCACACAUUCACUGCUUGUUUAGCAAUAAGCAAGUCACAAAUCAAUAGAAUUAACUCAAUUACUUCUGUCUUGGAAACUUAUGUAAUCCAAAUAUAAUUGAUAAAUACAUUCUUUAAUCAAUUUUUUAAUGCCAUAACAGCAGAUUAUGUUGUUCCCACUGUCUUGCAAAGCAUCUUCAUCAGCCUAUGUAUCAGCCAAUGUAUGAUGUAUGGUACAACAUCACCAUUUUAGAUCACUUCCAAAAUAAAUAUUUAUCUCAACUAAGUCUUGUUGAAAAGCCAUUGUGUUUCUGUAAAGUUUAGUUAGCUAGCUAGAUAGCUAUGUGCUGUAUAACAACAAAAACUGGAAAAUUUUCCGGAAUCUGUUCUGUGUACAUGUUUCUA